rnacentral:rRNA from 1 species
UACAGAGGUCGCAAGCGUUGUUCGGAUUCAUUGGGCGUAAAGGGUGCGUAGGCGGCCGGGCAAGUCGGGUGUGAAAUCUCGGGGCUUAACUCCGAAACUGCAUUCGAUACUGCUGUGCUUGAGGACUGGAGAGGAGACUGGAAUUUACGGUGUAGCGGUGAAAUGCGUAGAUAUCGGAAGGAAGACCAGUGGCGAAGGCGGGUCUCUGGACAGUUCCUGACGCUGAGGCACGAAGGUCAGGGGAGCAAACGGG